AGAAUCAACGCUGGCGGCGUGCCUAACACAUGCAAGUCGAACGAGAAAGUGGAGCAAUCCAUGAGUAAAGUGGCGCACGGGUGAGUAACACGUGACUAACCUACCCUUGAGUGGGGGAUAACCUAGAGAAAUCUGGGCUAAUACCGCAUAAUACCUUCGGGUCAAAGGAGCAAUUCGCUUUAGGAGGGGGUCGCGGCCGAUUAGUUAGUUGGCGGGUAAUGGCCCACCAAGACUGUGAUC
rnacentral:rRNA from 1 species